CACUACUUAGCUUAAUUGGUUAAAGCGCGGUCUUGAUAAGGCCGAGAGUACUGGUUCGAGUCCCGUAGUAGUGA
rnacentral:tRNA from 2 species